GCCUCUGUGGAUGAAUGGUAGGUCACCUCAGAUCUGUGGACACUGCAUAGCCCUUUAGUGAGGGGAUGUGGGUUCGAAUCCCACCAGAGGCA